rnacentral:rRNA from 1 species
UACAGAGGUCCCAAGCGUUGUUCGGAUUCACUGGGCGUAAAGGGUGCGUAGGUGGUCGGGUAAGUCUGAGGUGAAAUCUCCGAGCUCAACUCGGAAACUGCCUUGGAUACUAUCCGGCUUGAGGGUUGGAGGGGGGACUGGAAUUCUCGGUGUAAGCAGUGAAAUGCGUAGAUAAUCGUAAGGAAGACCAGUGGCGAAGGCGGGUCUCUGGACAGUUCCUGACGCUGAGGCACGAAGGCCAGGGGAGCAAACGGG